UUCUAAAAUUUCAAAAUUAUUUUGAAAGUUCCUCUUUUCGUUUAUUCAAACAUUGUUCAUGUAUCUGUUGUUUCGUAUUUCUUGCUUCGCUUUUAUUACGUAUUUGUUGUUUCGUAUUUUUUGCUUCAUUUUUGUUACUUAUUUGAUUUGAUGACUUUAUAUCAUAGUUGGUGCAACUCGAAUAUGUCAUUUUUGAAAAAAAGUAGAUCUUGACUCUAGAAUGAGAAGGACAGAUCUUGACUCUAACAAUGUUGUAAUAGAAAAACAAAGUUAUGCAUCUCAUCAAUCUAAAAUUUUUGAUUCUCACCUUUGA
rnacentral:lncRNA from 1 species